rnacentral:rRNA from 1 species
GAUGAACGCUGGCGGCGUGCUUAACACAUGCAAGUCGAACGGUGAACCCGGAGCUUGCUCUGUGGGAUCAGUGGCGCACGGGUGCGUAACACGUGAGCAACCUGCCCCUGACUCUGGGAUAAGCCCUGGAAACGGCGUCUAAUACUGGGUAUGUGACGUUACCCCAUAGUCUUCGUUUGUAAAGAUUUUUCGGUUGGGGAUGGGCGCGCGGCCAAUCAGCUUGUUGGUGAGGUAAUGGCUCACCAAGUUGUCGACGGGUAGCCGGCCUGCGAGGGUGACCGGCCACAAUGGUAUUGAGAGACGGACCAGACGCGUACGGGAGGCAGCAGGGGGGAAUAUUGCACAAUGAGGGAAAGCGUGAUGCAGCAGCCCCGCGUGAGGGAUGACGGCCUUCGGGUUGUAAACCUUUGUGAGCGGAGAUGAAGCGAAAGUGACGGUACCUGCAGAGAAAGCGCCGGCUAACUACGUG